GACGGAGGAUGCAAGUGUUAUCCGGAAUCACUGGGCGUAAAGCGUCUGUAGGCGGUCAAAUAAGUCAACUGUUAAAUCUUGAGGCUCAACCUCAAAAUCGCAGUCGAAACUAUUAGACUAGAGUAUAGUAGGGGUAAAGGGAAUUUCCAGUGGAGCGGUGAAAUGCGUAGAUAUUGGAAAGAACGCCGAUGGCGAAGGCACUCUACUGGGCUAGAACUGACACUCAGAGACGAAAGCUAGGGGAGCAAAUGGG
rnacentral:rRNA from 1 species